rnacentral:rRNA from 1 species
GACGAACGCUGGCGGCGUGCUUAACACAUGCAAGUCGAACGAUGAACCCGGAGCUUGCUCCGGUGGAUUAGUGGCGAACGGGUGAGUAACCUGCCCUUGACUCUGGGAUAACUGCGGGAAACUGCAGCUAAUACCGGAUACGACCCUCUGCGGCAGCGCCAGGGGGUGGAAAGAAUUUCGGGGAAGGAUGGACUCGCGGCCUAUCAGCUAGCUGGUGAGGUAACGGCUCACCAAGGCGACGACGGGUAGCCGGCCUGAGAGGGUGACCGGCCACACUGGGACUGAGACACGGCCCAGACUCCUACGGGAGGCAGCAGUGGGGAAUAUUGCACAAUGGGCGCAAGCCUGAUGCAGCAACGCCGCGUGAGGGAUGACGGCCUUCGGGUUGUAACCUCUUUUAGUAGGGAAGAAGCGAAAGUGACGGUACCUGCAGAAAAAGCACCGGCUAACUACGUGCCAGCCGCCGCCGUAA